rnacentral:rRNA from 1 species
AUUGAACGCUGGCGGCAUGCCUUACACAUGCAAGUCGAACGGUAACGGGCCUUCGGGUGCCGACGAGUGGCGAACGGGUGAGUAAUGUAUCGGAACGUACCUUUCAGUGGGGGAUAACGUAGCGAAAGUUACGCUAAUACCGCAUAUUCUGUGCGCAGGAAAGCAGGGGAUCGCACGACCUUGCGCUGAUUGAGCGGCCGAUAUCAGAUUAGCUAGCUGGUGAGGUAAAGGCUCACCAAGGCGACGAUCUGUAGCGGGUCUGAGAGGAUGAUCCGCCACACUGGAACUGAGACACGGUCCAGACUCCUACGGGAGGCAGCAGUGGGGAAUUUUGGACAAUGGGGGCAACCCUGAUCCAGCCAUGCCGCGUGAGUGAAGAAGGCCUUCGGGUUGUAAAGCUCUUUCGGCCGGGAAGAAAUCGUAUCAGCUAAUACCUGGUGCGGAUGACGGUACCGGCAUAAGAAGCACCGGCUAACUACGUGCCAGCAGCCGCAGUAACAC